rnacentral:rRNA from 1 species
UACGGAGGGAGCUAGCGUUAUUCGGAAUUACUGGGCGUAAAGCGCACGUAGGCGGCUUUGUAAGUAAGAGGUGAAAGCCUGGUGCUCAACACCAGAACUGCCUUUUAGACUGCAUCGCUUGAAUCCAGGAGAGGUGAGUGGAAUUCCGAGUGUAGAGGUGAAAUUCGUAGAUAUUCGGAAGAACACCAGUGGCGAAGGCGCUCUACUGGGCCAUUACUGACGCUGAUGGACGAAAGCUAGGGGAGCGAAAGGG